rnacentral:rRNA from 1 species
UGGGGAAUAUUGGACAAUGGGCGAAAGCUGAUCCAGCCAUGCCGCGUGUGUGAAGAAGGCCUUUUGGUUGUAAAGCACUUUAAGUGGGGAGGAAAAGCUUAUGGUUAAUACCCAUAAGCCCUGACGUUACCCACAGAAUAAGCACCGGCUAACUCUGUGCCAGCAGCCGCGGUAAUGCAGAGGGUGCAAGCGUUAAUCGGAAUUACUGGGCGUAAAGCGCGCGUAGGUGGUUAUUUAAGUCAGAUGUGAAAGCCCCGGGCUUAACCUGGGAACUGCAUCUGAUACUGGAUAACUAGAGUAGGUGAGAGGGGAGUAGAAUUCCAGGUGUAGCGGUGAAAUGCGUAGAGAUCUGGAGGAAUACCGAUGGCGAAGGCAGCUCCCUGGCAUCAUACUGACACUGAGGUGCGAAAGCGUGGGUAGCAAACAGGAUUAGAUACCCUGGUAGUCCACGCCGUAAACGAUGUCUACCAGUCGUUGGGUCUUUUAAAGACUUAGUGACGCAGUUAACGCAAUAAGUAGACCGCCUGGGGAGUACGGCCGCAAGGUUA